GGAAUAUCGGACAAUGGGGGAAACCCUGAUCCAGCAAUGCCGCGUGAAUGAAGAAGGCCUUAGGGUUGUAAAAUUCUUUUGUCCGUGACGAUAAUGACGGUAGCGGACGAAUAAGCCCUGGCUAACUCUGUGCCAGCAGCCGCGGUAAUACAGAGAGGGCAAGCGUUGUCCGGAAUGACUGGGCGUAAAGCGCGCGCAGGCGGUUUCUUAAGUUGGAUGUGAAAUCCCCGGGCUUAACCUGGGAACUGCAUUCGAUACUGGGAGACUAGAGGCCGAGAGAGGAAAGCGGAAUGACGAGUGUAGAGGUGAAAUUCGUAGAUAUUCGUCGGAACACCAGAGGCGAAGGCGGCUUUCUGGCUCGGACCUGACGCUCAGGCGCGAAAGCGUGGGGAGCAAACAGGAUUAGAUACCCUGGUAGUCCACGCCCUAAACGAUGAGUGCUAGAUGUCGGAUUUUCGGAUUCGGUGUCGCAGCUAACGCAUUAAGCACUCCGCCUGGGGAGUACGGUCGCAAGAUUAAAACUCAAAGGAAUUGACGGA
rnacentral:rRNA from 1 species